CCGGGGGCGAGGGCGGCGGCGCGGCGAGGGCGGUUGGCCCGGGGCGGCCGAAGACGCCGGGUGCUUGGCUGCCGAAGUCGCCAGAAGCCACGGAGACUUGACUUGCCUCUCUGCUCCCUUCCCCCCUGCCGGUCACGAAAUCAACUCCAGGCCCAAGGCUUAUAAAGAAUUUUGAGAAAAGAAAGGAAUAUUUCAUGAAGGUAGAGAAGCAUUACUGCUUGUGGAGGUGUCUGCUCCAGAAACACUAUCGCUUUGGACAGUAAGUCUCCUGCCAGCAGGGUCUGUCUCUUAGAUGUCUCUGGAUCUCCUGCAGGUGAAACUCUCUGGGCCUGCAAAUGUCAUUCCAGAUGUUUUCUCUGAUACCUGAAUAUUGAUCUUUCCUCACCCAGCAAUAUUCUUGCCUAACAGCCGGUAUAUGUCCUUGUCAUGAGAGGCAACUCCAGAAAUUUGGAACAUAGAAAGGAGAAAUAGAAGAGACAGCAUAGAGACCAGCCGAUGGAGUACAGGAGUGUCAAUUAAGGGAAGCAGGCAGUCUGUCUAUAUACUUAAAGUAUUCCAAUUAGAGAGUAAAUUCAUCAGGCUCUGCCAAAAAGACAGCGGCCAAUCAAUUAGCUGAAAAGCACACCGAAGAAUCAAACACAAUCAGGGUUCUUGUCAGAUUCUUACAGUGAUUCUGAGGGGAACUUUGUGCAAAUCAAGAAACCUUUCUGCAUCAUGUUUUAAAUCACAUAAACCGUGAAAGUAAUAUAAAGAUUAAUACACAUGUACAAAUGUAUAAUUGUCAUUAAGACAUCUAUUUCUUUCUGUUUACAAGGCAAAACAAUUCAUCUAAUUAUACCCAGAAAAACACAGUGAAACAACCCUAACAUUUUAUGAAAAUAAUUUAUUUCGGCUUAUCUGUUCUGUUCCUAUUUACAUUGUACUGCAUGAAAGUACUUGGCCCCCAUUUGUAUACAGAACACUGUCAUUUUCAGCUUGCACCAAGAAUCUAUCUCCAUACAGGAUUUCAUAAUUAAAACAGUUUUCUUUUAACUUAAACUAACAAUAGAAGAGAUUAAUUCAGUGAUAUAAAAGUUAUUUAACUUAAGUAACUUACUGCAC